rnacentral:misc_RNA from 1 species
AGUUGUUGAACUGUCCAAGCCAGUGGAGAUCUCGUCCAUAAAAAGUGCCCUUGAUGGCCCAACCAGCAUUUCACCUGUUGUAACACGCUUCCUUUGUCCUCCAGAGAAAACCCGCAACAUUUCAUCUCCUACCAAGGUAUCUGCACAGAUAUCUAAUCCCAAAAUCUUCAAAAUAUAAUCUGUGACCAAACUAGCCGCUUGUCCUUCUGUUGCAGCAGCCUUCAUGAAAACAUCGAUAUCUGGAUUAGGUUUAAUAUUAGCUGCUUUCUCUCUUCUAGACAACUCUGCUAGCAUCUCAUGUAGACAUCCAACCCCUUCGCAUCUAGCAGAAAAUGCCAGAGUUCCCCUUACAGUCAUUUCUCCUAUAUGAAUAUCAUGCUGAUUAAUAUUGGCAGCUGUUUUCUGUGGAAUAAAUUCAUUCAUCCCAUGGCCAUUGCAAGUCACACUACCAGAGAACUUCAAAUUAGGAUCAAACUUGCCAGCCAGCGCGAGCAAAAAUGUAGUCUUUCCAGAACUAGGAGGACCCAAAAGUAGAGUCAUUCUUGAGGGCUCGAUGACCCCAUUAAUAUCCUUAAGGAUGGUCAAUGGUUUCUUUCUACUGGGAAGCAUAUGAAGAUAAUUCAAGAAACCCUCUAGUGCAUUAACAGAGAAGUUAACGAAUGUAGGCAGAGCACUGUUUCCUACCAAAGCUUCUGUUUCAAUAUUUAGAUGUUCAAAUCGAACUUCAAUUGUUGGGAGUUAAAUUCCAACACUCUCGAGCAAACUUUUCCUCUCCUGGAAUCCAUGAGUAUCUACGUCAACCUCAUUACCUCCACCUCUGGAUGCACUAAUCAAAAUACCUUUCCUCAAACGAUCAUAAGUAGGCAGCUUUUCAAGAGCAGCCCAUUUAAGAUCUUCAUCGUCAUCUUCUUCUCUAUAAGAUCUUGAGAAAACAUCUACAGCAUUAUUUAUCGGGGUUUUUGAUUGUGAGUUAAAUGUAAUUAUUAAAGGUGGGUGAAUUAUAACGAGGUGUA